rnacentral:rRNA from 1 species
CGGGUGAGUAACACGUGACCAACCUGCCUCACACAUCGGGAUAACUGCCGGAAACGGCAGCUAAUACCGGAUACUAUCCCUCCUCCGCAUGGAGGAAGGAUGAAAGCUUUCGCGGUGUGAGAUGGGGGUCGCGGCCCAUCAGGUAGUGGGUAGGGUAGCGGCCUACCUAGCCUACGACGGGUAGCCGGACUGAGAGGUCGAUCGGCCACAUUGGGACUGAGAUACGGCCCAGACUCCUACGGGAGGCAGCAGUGGGGAAUAUUGCGCAAUGGGGGAAACCCUGACGCAGCAACGCCGCGUGCGGGAUGAAGGCCUUCGGGUUGUAAACCGCUUUCAGCAGGGAAGACAUCGACGGUACCUGAAGAAGAAGCCCCGGCUAACUACGUG